UACGUAGGGUGCUAGCGUUAUCCGGAUUUACUGGGCGUAAAGGGUGCGUAGGCGGUGUUUCAAGUCGGUGGUUAAAGGCUAUGGCUCAACCGUAGUACGCCGUCGAAACCGGAAGACUUGAGUGCAGGAGAGGAAAGUGGAAUUCUCAGUGUAGCGGUGAAAUGCGUAGAUAUUGAGAAGAACACCAGUAGCGAAGGCGGCUUUCUGGACUGUAACUGACGCUGAGGCACGAAAGCGUGGGUAGCAAACAGG
rnacentral:rRNA from 1 species